UACGUAGGGUGCGAGCGUUGUCCGGAAUUAUUGGGCGUAAAGAGCUCGUAGGCGGUCUGUCGCGUCGGCUGUGAAAACUCGGGGCUCAACCCCGAGCCUGCAGUCGAUACGGGCAGACUAGAGUGCUGUAGGGGAGACUGGAAUUCCUGGUGUAGCGGUGAAAUGCGCAGAUAUCAGGAGGAACACCGGUGGCGAAGGCGGGUCUCUGGGUAGUAACUGACGCUGAGGAGCGAAAGCGUGGGGAGCAAACAGG
rnacentral:rRNA from 1 species